UACAGAGACUGCAAGCGUUAUUCGGAUUCACUGGGCGUAAAGGGUGCGCAGGCGGUCGGGUGUGUCAGAUGUGAAAUCCCGAGGCUCAACCUCGGAACUGCGUCUGAAACUACUCGACUAGAGUACUGGAGAGGGUAACGGAAUUCACGGUGUAGCAGUGAAAUGCGUAGAGAUCGUAAGGAAGACCAGUGGCGAAGGCGAGUUUCUGGACGGUAACUGACGCUGAGGCACGAAGGCCAGGGGAGCAAACGGG
rnacentral:rRNA from 1 species